rnacentral:rRNA from 1 species
GAUGAACGCUGGCGGCGUGCCUAAUACAUGCAAGUCGAGCGAACAGACGAGGCGCUUGCUCCUCUGACGUUAGCGGCGGACGGGUGAGUCACACGUGGAUAACCUACCUAUAAGACUGGGAUAACUGCGGGAAACCGGAGCUAAUACCGGAUAAUAUAUUGAACCGCAUGGUUCAAUAGUGAAAGACGGUUUUGCUGUCACUUAUAGAUGGAUCCGCGCCGCAUUAGCUAGUUGGUAAGGUAACGGCUUACCAAGGCAACGAUGCGUAGCCGACCUGAGAGGGGGAUCGGCCACACGGGAGCUGAGACACGGUCCAUGCGCCUACGGGAGGCAGCAGUAGGGAAUCGUCCGCAAUGGGCGAAAGCCUGACGGAGCAACGCCGCGUGAGUGAUGAAGGUCUUCGGAGCGGAAAACUCUGUUAUGAGUGAAGAACAAAUGUGUAAGUAACUAUGCACGUCUUGACGGUACCUAAUCAGAAAGCCACGGCUAACUACGUG